rnacentral:lncRNA from 1 species
CCUCCACUCCUGCCCCAAGAAACGGUGAAAUAGACACGAAGAAGGAAGCUGAGACCAGAGAGGGAAAGAGACUUGGCCAAGGCCCACAGCCUGGUGGGGAUGACUCCGUGGGCUGAGAGUCCCUAUCGAGGAGUCCCCGUCUUCCCCAGACCUUCUUGCUCAGCAGGGCCGUUGUAAAUGGAGGUGAGUUGGAGGUGAGUCAUUUAGACUCUCAGGAAACCAAGCCUAGUCCAAUAUUAAUCAUGGAACCAGAGACACUGAGUGCAAGAAGGAAAUGGAACCAACCGAUGGUGGCAGCAGCUUCAUCGGAGGUGCAGGCGAGGAGAGCGCACCCAUGGGUGCGUCCGUGCAGGGAGGUCUGAGAGUAAAAGUCCAAGAAAAGCCGAGUGCGGUGACUCACAUCUGUAAUCUCAGCACUUCGGGAAGCCAAGAGGGGCAGAUUGCUUGAGCCCAGGAGUUUGAGACCCGCCUGAGCAAGAUAGCAAAACCCCAUCUCUACUAAAAAUGCAAAAAUUAGCCAAGUGUGGUGGUACUUACUGUAAUUCCAGCUACUUGGUAGGCUGAGAAAGGAGGACUGCUUGAGCCCUAGAGGUCAAGACUGCAGUGAGACACGAUUGCACCACUGUACUCCAGGCUGGGUGAUAGAGCCAGACCCUGUCAAAAAAAAAAAAAAUCCAUGGGAAAACGGAUGCUCAGAGAAGAAAUUGGCCUAAGCCAUCCAGUAAGUUCCAGAUUCAAACCCAGGUUUGUGAGUCUAGAGUGAGCCUCUGCCCUGGUGGUCGCAGUUGCUAAAACUUGCAUCCCCAAAUCCCGUCGUCCUGAUGGCCAAAGGAUAGCCCACAUUUCUUGGUGCCUGGGACCUGCUCUGUGCUCCCCCAGAGCCAUCUGUUGUAAGGGAGUUUGCUCUAAGGGGAUUGGCCUUGUGUUUCCCGUUACCCACCCUCCCUGUCUCCUCCACAUGGGCCGAGUCUCUGACAAUCAGGCAGGAAGAGCCUCCGAGCCCAGGACCAGCGCUGGAGGAUUGGAAGGGGCCACAGGCACCCCUGUCUUCAAAUAAUGACUUGCAACUCAGAAUUUUCAAGAAACCAGCACACCCGAUCCCAUGAAGGCUGAGAACAUAGAGCCCUGAGGAAGAAACUGAUCAAGGGUCCAUCCAGGUCUUGAAGCUCCAUCACUAGUCACUCCCUUGGGUCAAGGAAUUGAAGGUCCCAGUUAAAAUGUAAAUCAUUCCUGGAGAAACCCCUUGCUAAGUCCCUGGCAGAUGUCGCAGGGGCUGGUUUCUCAGAAGAGCCUUGGUGGAGGGCAGGCCCUGGCAUUCUGAUGGCCCAGUGUGGCGAGAGGGUGUUGUGGAAGCACUUAGAUUCAGACCUGAGCUCAGCACCUUGGCUGAGAAGGCCCCAGGUGGGGCACCGGCCACCCCGUCACACUCCCUAGUGGACUCCUUUCUCUCCUGAUGCCACCAAGCUUGUCCCUGCCCCAGGGCCUUUGUGCUCGCUGGUCCCUCCGCCUGAAAACUUGUUCCCCCAGCUCUGCAAAGUGUUGUCCCUCUGAGAAAACUUCUGGGGUGACAGAUAUAGUGGUCAUCUUGGUUGUGGAGAAGGAUGUAUAUACAUGCCAACACUUACAAAAUGGUAUACUUUAAGUUGGUCAAGAUUACUGUGUGUCUAUUAUACCUCAAUGAAGCUAUUAACACACACACAUUUUAAAACCGCAGCUCCUGCUCAUCUUCAGGUGUUGGCUCAGAUGAACCUCCUCAGAGAGGCUUUUCCUGACCACCCCAGCUGAUGUUACCACUCUCUGCCACAUCGCCCUGUUCAUCAGGGACGUACCACAGUGUGGCAUCGUUUAUUUGCUCAUUGCUAACUUUCCCCGCCUGGGGAGCAGGGAUUGUGUCUGUCUGGUCCACUGACAUAAGCAGGGCUUGGCUUCAUGAAUCUUUAUUGAAUGACUUGAAUGACCAAGGACAGGGGUCCUAGCAGACAUGGCGGACGUCAGACUCACCUUCUGGGGCUGGUCUAGGGGUGUUCCAAGAACACCAAGCAAGGCUGAGAAGGGCAGGUACUGCUCUGAAAGUGAAACCCGGAACACAGCCAUGCUGCCAGCCCAUCUGCGCCAUCAUCCAUGCCGUGGGUGCCUGCAGAAAGUGCCAGCAGGGACCCUGUUCCUAGCAGGAGCUGCCCAUCAGCAUAUGGCAUUCAUUCAGAAAAUCCCUCUGGAAUCUCCCUGGUCAUUCCCUCCAUGUGGCUGGGAGUGGGUCUGCCCCACUCCCAGAAUCAUCCCUCCCUCCAAACAGGAGGCAGGAGGCCUGAAGGCCCAGUCUGGCCUGGGGCUCACCAGACACAAAACCCUGGCAAUGUGGAGAAACUAAGGCGUGGCCACAACUCAAGCCUCAGCUAGAUCUGGAGACUCAUGGGGACCUCCCCCUGAAGACUGGAACUGUGAUCUGGCCUGAGAAAAACCCAUCAGUUACCAUCCAUAACCCCCAUCGACUCAUGGUGAUUUCACUGGGUUCUGGUUUGCAUCAGACACUGGCCAGAGUGUGAGAGCUGAGGUGGGGGUCGCCACAUCCAGCAACCGCUCCCCUACCCCAGUUACACCGACCCUGAGGCCAAAGUCCCACAGCCAGUCAGUGCAGGGACAGCCCCCAGGCCCCAGCCUCCUGAGCCCCCACCCGGCCCCUCUGCCCUCGCCCGGCUUUAUUGUGUGUAUUUGCUGCUUGCUAUCAUUUUCCUUUUCCAGGCCUGUCACCAGGGGAGCAAAGCCUUGACCCCAAGCUUUCAGACUCUGGCAAGGGAGGCAGAUGGCAGGGGUCUCAAGGGUCUGCUUGGCUGUGACUGCAGAGGCUGAUGGAACAUCAGGGCUUUGGGAGCGGUCAGCGGCCUGUUUCAGUGCUGCACACACACACAUACACAUAUGCACACACACAUGCACACACACGUACACAUAGGCACACACACAUGCACACACACGUACACAUCUGUGUGAGCACACACUUGCCUCCCAGACUCAGCAUCCAUCAUCCCCAAUGCCCGGCCAGCUUAUCUACCUAUUACCUGAAAACAAUCCUGUUAUCUGUCCAAGGAGAUAGUGUGGAAAUAAAUGCUUAGCAAGAAA